AAGCAGCAGUCCUUAAUACAACAUCACAGAUCCUGGAGCUCUAUUGUGAAAACUCAGAGAGGAUGCAGCAGAUCUGUGACGGGCUGAGGGAACUCUCCUGGAUCCUAUGUACAAAAAGGCUGAAGCGCUGCUGCAGGCUCCUGCAAUAUGAUGGUGAUGUGAAUGAUGUCCAUCCCCACCGCUGCCUGUUGGAUUUCUUUUGCUGCAGUCGGGUUGUUCAGUCUGACAUUGUUUCAUGAAGACAACACAUCUGCAGUUUGUAAAUUGAGAGAGAGGGUCUGAAGGUACUAAAAAGUCCUUAACGUUGUCUGUUCCUCAGAAGCCCUUGCUGGGGCUGCUUCUAAAAUGGCUUGAUGCUUCUCAGCUGGGUGGAAGACAUUUAAGCAAGUGCUAAGUGUGACAAGUGUAGGUACAGGUUGUGGAGAUGGCUGCGAGUCAACUCUACAAAUAGAUACUGUGCUUCUUUAUUGUAUUAUAUCCUUGUAUUAAGGAUAUUUUUGUGGCUAACACAGCUGGUGUUUUGGCAGGAGGUGUACCUGUUCUUCAGUUUCAGGGCUGUGAAGGUUACCUAGCUCCUCAUGUUAUUGCAGCAGUGAGAUUAAUGCUAGCACUGCUAACCAUCAUUUCCUUUGUUGCUGUAUGCUGUU